rnacentral:rRNA from 1 species
CCCUAGUAACGGCGAGUGAAGCGGCAACAGCUCAAAUUUGAAAUCUGGCCCUCGUGGUCCGAGUUGUAAUUUGUAGAGGAUGCUUUUGGUGCGGCGCCUUCCGAGUUCCCUGGAACGGGACGCCAUAGAGGGUGAGAGCCCCGUCUGGUCGGACGCCAAGCCUCUGUAAAGCUCCUUCGACGAGUCGAGUAGUUUGGGAAUGCUGCUCUAAAUGGGAGGUAUAUGUCUUCUAAAGCUAAAUACCGGCCAGAGACCGAUAGCGCACAAGUAGAGUGAUCGAAAGAUGAAAAGCACUUUGAAAAGAGGGUUAAACAGUACGUGAAAUUGUUGAAAGGGAAGCGCUUGUGACCAGACUUGGGCUUGGUUAAUCAUCCAGCGUUCUCGCUGGUGCACUUGGCCGGCCCAGGCCAGCAUCAGUUCGGCGCGGGGGAUAAAGGCGUCGGGAAUGUGGCUCCCCCGGGAGUGUUAUAGCCCUUCGUGCAAUACCCUGCGCCGGACUGAGGUUCGCGCAUCUGCAAGGAUGCUGGCGUAAUGGUCAUCAGCGACCCGUCUUGAAACACGGACCAAGGAGUCGUCUUCGUAUGCGAGUGUUCGGGUGUCAAACCCCUACGCGUAAUGAAAGUGAACGCAGGUGAGAGCUUCGGCGCAUCAUCGACCGAUCCUGAUGUUCUCGGAUGGAUUUGAGUAAGAGCAUACGGGGCCG